rnacentral:rRNA from 1 species
GCGGUAAUUCCAGCUCCAAUAGCGUAUAUUAAAGUUGUUGCAGUUAAAAAGCUCGUAGUUGAAACUUGGGUCUGGCUGGCGGGUCCGCCUCACCGCGUGCACUCGUCCGGCCGGACCUUCCUUUUAGCGAACCUCAUGCCCUUCACUGGGCGUGCUGGGGAACUAAGACUUUUACUUUGAAAAAAUUAGAGUGUUCAAAGCAGGCCUUUGCUCGAAUACGUUAGCAUGGAAUAAUAAAAUAGGGCGUGCGUUUCUAUUUUGUUGGUUUCUAGAGACGCCGCAAUGAUUAACAGGAACAGUCGGGGGCAUCAGUAUUCAGUUGUCAGAGGUGAAAUUCUUGGAUUUACUGAAGACUAACUACUGCGAAAGCAUUUGCCAAGGAUGUUUUCAUUAAUCAGUGAACGAAAGUUAGGGGAUCGAAGACGAUCAGAUACCGUCGUAGUCUUAACCGUAAACUAUGCCGACUAGGGAUCGGGCGAUGUUCUUUUUCUGACUCGCUCGGCACCUUACGAGAAAUCAAAGUUUUUGGGUUCUGGGGGGAUUAUGGUCGCAAGGCUGAAACUUAAAGAAAUUGACGGAAGGUCACCACCAGGCGUGGAGCCUGCGGCUUAAUUUGACUCAACACGGGGAAACUCACCAGGUCCAGAUGAAAUAAGGAUUGACAGAUUGAGAGCUCUUUCUUGAUUUUUCAGGUGGUGGUGCAUGGCCGUUCUUAGUUCGUGGGGUGACUUGUCUGCUUAAUUGCGAUAACGAGCGAGACCUUACUCUGCUAAAUAGCCAGGCUAGCUUUGGCUGGUCGCCGGCUUCUUAGAGAGACUAUCAACUCAAGUUGAUGGAAGUUUGAGGCAAUAACAGGUCUGUGAUGCCCUUAGAUGUUCUGGGCCGCACGCGCGCUACACUGACAGAGCCAACGAGUUCUUCACCUUGUUCGAAAGAAUUGGGUAAUCUUGUUAAACUCUGUCGUGCUGGGGAUAAAGCAUUGCAAUUAUUGCUUUUCAACGAGGAAUGCCUAGUAAGCGCGUGUCAUCAGCAUGCGUUGAUUACGUCCCUGACCUUUGUACACACCGCCCGUCGCUACUACCGAUUGAAUGGCUCAGUGAGGCCUUCGGACUGGCUCGAGGAGGUUGGCAACGACCACCUCAAGCCGG